UGAAAUUGUGUCUUGCGGUGUCGGUCUACCGUAAGCGGUACGACAGGCACGUCUGCGGGGCUUCUCGCCGGUGCGUCCCUGCCUGCGCGCGUCGGUCGAUCUCAACGGUCGGCCGCGCGUCGCGGCGGGCCGUCGCGGCUGUUUACUUUGAACAAAUUAGAGUGCUCAAAGCGGGCUAACACUCGCCUGAAUAUUGUACGCAUGGAAUAAUAGAAUAGGACCUCGGUUCAAUUUUGUUGGCUUUCUGAUACCAGAGGUAAUGAUUAAUAGGGACAACUGGGGGCAUUCGUAUUGCGACGUUAGAGGUGAAAUUCUUGGAUCGUCGCAAGACGGACUAAAGCGAAAGCAUUUGCCAAAGGUGUUUUCAUUAAUCAAGAACGAAAGUUAGAGGUUCGAAGGCGAUUAGAUACCGCUGUAGUUCUAACCAUAAAUGAUGCCAGCCAGCGAUCCGCCGAAGUUUCAUAUUUUAACUCGGUGGGCAGCUCCCGGGAAACCAAAGCUUUC
rnacentral:rRNA from 1 species